CCCUGACCCUAUGUCUUAGCCCCCCAAGGUACCCUGACACCUGACCCUAUGUCUUAGCCCCCCAAGGUACCCUGACCCCUGACCCUACCAGUCUUAAUCCGGACCCUAUGUCUUAACCCCCCAAGGUAACCUGACCCAUGACCCCACCAGUCUUAUUCCUGACCCUAUGUCUUAAUCCCCCAAGGUUCCCUGACCCUUGACCCUACCAGUCUUAUUCCUGACCCUAUGUCUAAACCCACCAAGGUGUCCUAAUCCCUGGCCCUAUGUCUAAACCCACCAAGGUGUCCUAACCCCUGACCCCUAACCCUAUGUCUAAACCCACCAAGGUGUCCUACCCCCUGACCCCUAACCCUAUGUCUAAACCCACCAAGGUGUCCUAACCCCUGACCCUAUGUCUAAACCCACCAAGGUGUCCUACCCCCUGACCCCUAACCCUAUGUCUAAACCCACCAAGGUGUCCUAACCCCUGACCCCUAACCCUAUGUCUAAACCCACCAAGGUGUCCUGACCCUAUGUCUUAACCCCCCAAGGUACCCUGACCCCUGACCCUACCAGUCUUAUUCCUGAUCCUAUGUCUAAACCCACCAAGGUGUCCUCACCCCUGACCCCUAACCCUAUGUCUUAGCCCCCCAAGGUACCCUAACCCCUGACCCCUAACCCUAUGUCUAAACCCACCAAGGUGUCCUCACCCCUGACCCCUAACCCUAUGUCUAAACCCACCAAGGUGUCCUGACCCCUGACCCUUAACCCGAUGUCUUAACCCCCAAUGUGUCCUAACCCCUGACCCCUAACCCUAUGUCUAAACCCACCAAGGUGUCCUAAUCCCUGACCCUAUGUCUAAACCCACCAAGGUGUCCUGACCCCUGACCCUUGACCCUAUGUCUAAACCCACCACGGUGUCCUAAUCCCUGGCCCUAUGUCUAAACCCACCAAGGUGUCCUAACCCCUGACCCCUAACCCUAUGUCUAAACCCACCAAGGUGUCCUACCCCCUGACCCCUAACCCUAUGUCUAAACCCACCAAGGUGUCCUAACCCCUGACCCCUGACCCUAUGUCUAAACCCACCAAGGUGUCCUAACCCCUGACCCCUAACCCUAUGUCUAAACCCACCAAGGUGUCCUGACCCUAUGUCUUAACCCCCCAAGGUACCCUGACCCCUGACCCUACCAGUCUUAUUCCUGAUCCUAUGUCUAAACCCACCAAGGUGUCCUCACCCCUGACCCCUAACCCUAUGUCUUAGCCCCCAAAGGUACCCUAACCCCUGACCCCUAACCCUGUCUAAACCCACCAAGGUGUCCUGACCCCUAACCCAAUGUCUUAAACCCCCCAAGGUGUCCUGACCCCUGACCCUUAACCCGAUGUCUUAACCCCCAAUGUGUCCUAACCCCUGACCCCUAACCCUAUGUCUAAACCCACCAAGGUGUCCUGACCCCUGACCCCUAACCCUAUGUCUUAACCCCCCAAGGUGUCCUGACCUGUGUGUGUGUUUGUGUGUGUGUGCGUGUUUUUGCAUCUUUCUGUCUG